UACAGAGGGUGCAAGCGUUGUUCGGAAUUAUUGGGCGUAAAGCGCGCGUAGGCGGCUACUUAUGUCGGAUGUGAAAGCCCUUGGCUCAACUGAGGAAGUGCACCCGAAACUGAGUAGCUGGAGUACGAAAGAGGGUCGCGGAAUUCCCGGUGUAGAGGUGAAAUUCGUAGAUAUCGGGAGGAACACCGGUGGCGAAGGCGGCGACCUGGGUCGAUACUGACGCUGGAGCGCGAAAGCGUGGGGAGCAAACAGG
rnacentral:rRNA from 1 species